rnacentral:rRNA from 1 species
AAUUGGAGGGCAAGUCUGGUGCCAGCAGCCGCGGUAAUUCCAGCUCCAAUAGCGUAUAUUAAAGUUGUUGCAGUUAAAAAGCUCGUAGUUGAAUUUCGGGAUCAAUAUUUCGGUCAUGCCGUUGGUAUGCACUGUUAUCAUUGAUUUCUCACCUUCUAAAGAACCGUAAUGCCAUUAAUUUGGUGUUACGGGGAAUUAGGACUGUUACCUUGAAAAAAUUAGAGUGUUUAAAGCAGGCUCACGCUUGAAUACAUUAGCAUGGAAUAAUGAAAUAGGACAUCCGAUUCUAUUUUGUUGGUUUCUAGGAUCGAUGUAAUGGUUAAUAGGGAUAGUUGGGGGCAUUAGUAUUCAAUUGUCAGAGGUGAAAUUCUUGGAUUUAUUGAAGACUAACUACUGCGAAAGCAUUUGCCAAGGAUGUUUUCAUUAAUCAAGAACGAAAGUUAGGGGAUCGAAGACGAUCAGAUACCGUCGUAGUCUUAACCAUAAACUAUGCCGACUAGGGAUCGGAUGAUGUUAAUUUUUUAAUGACUCAUUCGGCGCCUUACGGGAAACCAAAGUGU